rnacentral:lncRNA from 1 species
AAUCCGAACGUUUCGCGAGUCCGGUCGGUUCUCCUACUACAAUACGCAUGAAUUCAAGUCUGUUAUACAAUUAUUAUUUAAUUCUCUCGUACACAUCGGUAUAAAAUAUUAUAUUUCGCCAUUAUACACGCAAGUAUAAUACACAAUAUACGUAUACGCAAUACACAAUAUUAUUACAUUGCACUCGUAUUAUACAGGCAUUAUAAUCAUAUCCUUAAUAUACGACUCAUCGUUAUUAUUAUUAUUAUUAUUAUUAUUAUUAUUAUUACGCGUCGACACGUUUCUAUAAUAUGUUUUCCGCCGACGUCCCGACCGCGGCCGGAACUCGCCGGGUGAAAUAAAACGAAUAUCGUUCCAAACCGACUCGCAAACUAACGGACGGGGGCGGUACAGGUUGUUACUAAUAUGUAGAAUAUGUUCGGUUGUUAUCCGUGUAAAAGUCCGGCACCGCGUAAAACAGAUUGAAAAUAGCCAUUUACAGUGUACACUGAUAAUAAUAAUGUGUGUCCUUCGAACGCGAGCAGAAAGGGAACGCGAUCAAAACGUCCAAUGAUAACUGAAGUUUUCCCGGAGAGAUCGAAAAAUACGUUUUCUUUCCGUCGCGGCUGCUGCAAGAGGGUUACGGGCGAAUCAUAUAUUUUUUUUUUAAUGUUAAUAUGCAAUACGUAAUUUCGAAAAACGGACGUGUCUCGUUUUUCGGCAAUCAGUAGCGAUUUGUGUGUACUACGUCCUCUCCUCUCUUCCUCCAGCGUUUACACGUCAUCCGCAAUAACGUCUGUGUUAGGUACACCUAAUAAUAAUUAAUAAUAAUAACUAUUCAUAUAGGUGCUAAAAAAAAAAAAAAUUAAAAUUGAAUUCGACGUGUCUCUGAAUAUUAUAUAAAUAUAUUUUUUUCGUUAGAAAUAUUAAUACUUUACGGCACUUAUAUAGGGUGUGUUUCGUUUAUUCGUAUUGGCACGACGUACGCAAUGUAGGUACGAAAUCGUUUGGUGUUAUAAUACAAGAAUUUAAUGCCACUACCGUACACUAUUUGAGGUUAUAAUAAUAAUACAGGCGGUACUCGUAUACAAUAAAAAUAUCCUGUCGUCAUUACGCGAGGUUGUGUUUUGAAAUAAUAUUCUCUAAAUAAAUGUUACGAGACAGACAGAGAAAGAGAGAGAGAGAGAGAUAACUCGGGACGUUUUUCACGGAUGUUUUCUGUGUCCAAACGGAUACCCCGCAGUAGAGUAAGAUUUCGCUUAUUGCGUGGCCAUCGGUAAAAAAAACGGUAAACAAUGAAUUGGACCGGAGAGUUUGUAAUGAAAUGUUAUAUUUUACGUAGGAAAUGCUCUCUCGCUGCUGGCGUGACGGUAGGGUAAACCGGGGUAAGAGUCUAAAAGGUAACGGCAAGGUGUGCGGUGUGCGUAAUGUCGCGGAGCUUCGUAUCGAGGAGAGCGGAAGACACGCAACGGAUAUUUACCGACGAAAUUCCCGGGAACCGUUGACCAGAUACAAAUAUUGUAAUGAAACGGUGUUCGUCCCGAUACCGGUCGAACGAUGAACAUUACCAUCGGGUAACGCCUUCGUGUUCGCGCCUCUCCUCCCACCCCCCUUUCGGAAAUCGAUAUGAAAAAUAUUCUAAUAUCGCGUCGUCCGUAUACACGCGUCGUACGCGUAUACCGCAUCCCGACAAAAUAAUAAUUAGGAUAUUCACGUCACGGCGACGACCGCGAUAACAUUAUUGUAACGGAUAUAAUUUUCUCUAGAGACAUACAAAUUUUUUGUGUAGAUAAUAAUAUUCUCUCGGUUCACAAGGCCCGUCGAUAUUCGCCAUCAAAUUCCCGUCACGUAAACGUGUAAAGCUCCGGUCGGCCCCGCCCUUCCCCCCCCUCCCAUCACGGGUGGGAUGAAUAGUUACGAGAUAAUAAGUAUAGGGUGUACCUUUAGCUAUAUUUUCGGGCGAACGACAUAAAUAUAUUAUUUACCUAAACAAACACCGCCAUCGGAAUAAAACACGCGACAAUAUUUCCAUGCGUGUCGGAAUGUCAGAAAAUUGUCGCGCUCCCUUCUCCGUCGAAUACCUACGACUCGCCUAGUCGUUCUGCGGGCGUGUUGCGUCCGGUAAAAAGUACGACACGGCGUACCUACCCGUGAGACUAUUGUUUUUUUUUUUGGGUUCGUAAAUGUUAUUUAAUCCGCGUGUGUGUGUUACUAUGAUAAAUUUGCCAGCCACCUUAUUAUGAUAGAGAUCCUGAGAUUUUCCGCAGACACGAUUCGGACGGAUAAUAGUAUCGAAAAUAACAUCCUUUAUACACGGAAAAACAGAGAGCCUGGCCAAUAGAGGUCAACCCGCUAAACGUUUUCUGUUGGUCGGCUGUUGUCACUGAUCGCGGACGCCACGUCAUCGUCUAAAUAUUAUCUAUAUAAUGGCGGUGCAGAUUUAAGUUUGAAAUAUGUAAAUAACGUCACAAAUGAGAAUGUACAAAUUAAAGGUGAUUAAUAGGGCGUGGAUACUUAAUUCCGUAAAAUCAUUCAGAAUAAUAUUGUACCUAUGAUAUCCGUGUACGGCCGAAAAAUGGCGAAAUUCCCUUACUAUCUAUUUAUGUACUCUACGGGAGAGUAUUGAAAAAAGUAGAAAUUAACGGACCGGACGUAUUCCUGUACAGUAGAUAAUUGACACGGCGGGGUCAUCGCAUUAGUUGAUUUUAAAAAGGAGAUAAAAUGUAUUAUAAUAUAUAGGGGAAGAGCGCGCGAUCGUUGGAAUUAUACGCGACAAGAAACUGUGAUGGGUCGAGGGUACGAUUUCCGCGACGAAAUCUAAAGGGAAGACAAGUGAGAACAUGUCCCCCAUGUUCUCAUAGCGGAGAAUUUCUGCAAACUAAACGCAAAAUUGAUUGCAGGCAGCAAGAAGAUACUAGAUAAGGUCAGAGGGUUGCUGAACAAUAUCCGUCGGAGAAGAAAUCCGAUAAAUUCAUUGAAUUAUAGGUAUUUAUAAAAUACACGUUACGUUUAAAUAAUAUUAAACAGCGUAUAGAAACAUUCGCGACGCGAAUAGUAAUAAGAAUAGAAAAAAAAAAAUUUAAUAAUAAUAUUAAAAAAAUCAAAUCGUUUAAAAAAAUCCCACGAGGCUUUCGAGUUUUGUUAUUAUUUUAUACGUUUUAAAAGUACUUAUAUAUUAUUAUAUUAUUAUCAUUAUUGUGCAUAGCCAUAAGCCGGACAUGAUAACACCGCGUCUACGGCAUAGGCGCAACUAGGGGAGAGGGGGCUUGAGUAUUUUUUUCAGAAGCUACACGUGUUUACGAAAUCGCCACUUGAAAUCGGUCGAAAAGUAAAACAAAAAUAAGGCCAAGUUGCUUGGCGGUGAAUUAAAAUAUGGGUUAUUUGGGAGGGGGGAAGGGUAACUGUUAUAACUACCCUCCUUCCGCUCCCAACCAAAAUUAGGACCUAGUUGUACGUAUAGACGUGCCACCGUCGUCGGUCUUAGCCCGCUGCACCUAUGUAUUAUAUUUAUUAUUUAUUAUGUACGAAAGUUGUCAUAGCUGUCAUAGAUUUUCGUAUCGAUGCACGGCGCGCGUACCGAACGAAAUCGAGAGUUUCUAAUACUUUACGAUCGGCUGGUUUUCGAGGUGACCG